GAGCAGCGGUGCCGGUCCCUGCCGCCGCCUCAGCCCAAUGCCGCGUUGUCCCGCUCGCCGCGAAACGAACGUCUCGCAGUUGGGUCCGUCACCUCCGGCCUGAGCGCCCUCACACGCAGCCGGAGUCUGCAGGCUGCUGCUGCCACAUGGGACGAUCCGCUGCGGCACACAGGUUUCGGGUUAAUGAGCCGUGAAGCAGAGGCCGAGAUUCAGGACAAAGAGCGAUAAAUGCAGAUGUAAUGCCGAACAACUAGCAGCUUGGCUUCUUUCGUCAAAAACGCUUCACUUUGUAGAACCACGUGGAUCUGGAAUCACUGGACGCACCUUAGGAACACAAGCAGGACCAUUGGAGGAGAAACAUUUGCACAGCAUAGACAGUAACGGAGAACGAGUGAUGGAAAGGCAAGAAGCCCCUGAGCUGGAGAGAUGGGUGCAUGCUGUAUCGCUGUACAGCCUGGGAUGUAUUACGAGUAUUGUCUUUAGGAUUGCCUGUAUCUUGUCUUUCCAUGUUCUAAAUUGUGCCUUUCAGGACAGGAGACAGCUUGACUGUGCUUCUGUAAUUUGCUUGAAGACUUGAGUAUAAAUGAAAAUAUGCACUCUUUGAAUAAAAUCCAGCAGAGACUGAAAUUGUUACUGAUUUACUUGCUCAGAAGAUGAAACUUAGCCCAUUUGUCUUGCUUUCAAAAAAUUUACUUCUUACAGGAGUGCAUGCAAGAUUCUUGCUUCAGCAGUUACUGUGCCAGUGCACAGCAGUAGCUGCUGCCCUCACCUGCUGAUUUAGUUCUGAUGUCCUCACUACAAGCAGUGAACGAAGGAGCUUACAAGAGCAUUCUUAAGCAAUUGCCAGGUGUCACAUACCCACUCCCAUCAAAAAUUUCUAAGUCUCUGGCUGUAAUGAGGCUUUCAGAAAAUGGUGUUGAAUCAGUGAACAUCUUGAAUGCUCAACUUGCUUGCUUAGACCAAUCAGGUUUUUAGGAAGACUGUGGAUGAAGGCAGUUCAGCAUCUGUAUUCUUUAUUUUCACUUUAUUAAUAAUUUGAGAAGUUCAAUUUAAUUUUUCUAAAAAUAUAAAAUGUAACUGGAUUUCUGAGUUAAGUUGUUCCAGUAUUUUCUGACACAACCUGACAGGAGCUUAUUUUCACUUAAUACAAUACUCAGGACACAGAAGUAGGUAUGCAUGCUCUUAUUUUCUUUUUUCUCAUUCUUAAGCAGUUCUUCAUUGAUGCUGCUUUUCAUUACAUAUUCAACUUGCGUAUUCAGAAAUAAGACUCAGUUCUUAAAGAUAACUGAUACUUUAACUGCUAAUGUUUAUGAACUAUGAAAAUGUCAGUAGCUUAAAAGCACAGAAAAAAAAGUGAACUGAGAUUAGAUUCUCACAAAUAGGAAAGUGUUUUGCUUUUUAUUUUUCUACAACUGAACUGAAUCUGUUAUAGAGGUAAGUCUACUUUUGUUCUCCCUCUUCCCCCCAGAUAUUUCACUGUAAAAUCACAAAGGAACAAGCUACUAGAGAAAUACUAAAGCUGCUUCAUUUCUCCUUUGUAAGGAAGACUGUUGAGAAUAAGUCUUGACAAUUUUGACAGAAGAGCCAUUAGGUUAAGAAAACCUGAUAUAGUGAUUUAGUAUUUUCUUUCAGUUAAGUCUGACAUAGAAGGUUUUACAUCUCUCAGAAAACUUAAAGCUAUCAAAGCACAGGUUUGUGAUGCUUUGAGCUCAAGUUAUUUCAUAGCUUGAAUGACUGCAAUACCUGAAUGUAUGCAUCAAGACAACCUUCAUUUAUAACUAGUACAGCAAAACUGUACUAUAUUAUAUACUAUAUAUAUAGUACAGUAUACUAUAUAUACUAUAUUAGAAAGCCAACUGUAUAAAUCAGUACUUUGGACGAUAAAUUUUACUGUUUAAAUAUGGUCACAGAACCACCAUCUCUUUAAAGCUUUCAAGCAUUACUAUUAGCUAUCAUUUCUUUAAAGUGUAGUUCUGGAAAGCCAGGGUGUGAUUUUGUUGUUGCAGGUUUACUUCUUGUUUUUAAGGAAAGCACAGCAUACAAAAAGAAUACAGACGAAGAUAUUUUAUAUUUUUAUCUGAUAAUUUGAACAAGCAGAACUUCGCAAGAAAAUAAUUCUAAAGACUGAAAAAUAUAUUAAUUACAAGACUUGUUAAUGUAUUUACUGUUAAAAAUAUGUCUAGGCUCUUAUACAAAUCUAUAGCCAGGAGGGAACAUUUAUAAAAAAAUAAAUAGGCACCCUACAUAAGUCAAGACAAGUUAUCACUUAUUUGUUAGCAAAUAUUACAUACAUACAUACAUGGAGUGCAGUCAAAUAUAAAAACAAAGGUGCCUUAGUUAGCUGUUUACUAUUAUAAUUAAACACCUGGUAAACAUGGGUCACAUAAAAAGUUGUCCGGUAAGAUUGUUUCAAGCAAAGCAAGGAGACAGAAGUACAUCUAAAUUACUGCAUCUACUUUAAAAAUAAGUUUUACCAGUUGUGCUCGCUGGAAACCAAAUUCAUUUGGCAUCAGUAACAGGCAUUCAUAUUGCUUACUGUACACAAGUAUGAACAUUGCUAUGCAUGUUUAAAAAUAACUGUUAUAACAUCAUUCACAGUUGUUGCUGUGCUAUUUAUACAUAAAAAUACUGUCAUUUCUGCAAACAUUUUACAAAUUAUACAUUAUUUACAAAUUCCAUACUUUUUUUUUUUACACAAGUAUUA